UGUGCCGUCUUGGACAAACAGCGAGUUCCUGGCAAAGACAAACAAAAGAAGUUUAAUUUCAACAUAARUAGCAUCUACUCUCUUCAACAUGCAUCAGCAGAUUUCCAAGUACUGAUUCACCAGAGAACAAGACACAACGAGUGAUAAGAGGAACUAACAGCAGAAAAGAGAUUUCUGACGCCACAAUGAGAAUGUGAAGAAUGUAAAGACAAAGCUUUGAUAGGUCCAGUGUGGCGCACACCGAGCCUUGACCUCGACCCCAGCCAGGAGCGUUGGAAUAACAGCGAGUCAGACCUUCUCAUCUCUAAAUGACCUCAUGAAGACUCAACAGCAUAAACAGGAAACAUGUUCAUGCUCCAAAAUCCUGUGAAAAGCUGUAAUACUGGAGGAAAGAUAUGUAUCUCAAUGGAAAGUUGUGGGGAUUUGCACCCUGAUAAGGUGACAAAUAUUAAACACAAAAUAACUAGUGUUUCAUUUUUACGUGACUUAUGUUGUGUUUAACAUCUUCAGAGUUUACCGUUUCAUACUAUGGAGUGCUAGGGCCAGACUAAAAAUAUUUUUUUCCUUUUUGGAGUUACGAUACUACAAGACACCAAAUCACCAGAAAAAAGUUGUUAAAAUACUAAGAAAAAGUUUUUAUGAGUGCAAAGCUUCAAUAAUUAUCCAGAUCUAAUAUUUAAUCCUUUUCAAAGUCCUGCUACUGAUACUAAUUUGAUGCUGAUGUGUUGAAAGAUUCGUAAAACUCAUACCAACGAAUAACUUCACAAGAUGCUCAACAUUCCUCAUUUAAAAGUUUUAUUAUUUUUUGUGUAGGAGUUUUCAUAAAAUGACAACUUCAAUCUACAUAUGUUACAACAUUGAUCUGGUAAUAUUAUAACUAUAUUCUCAUUUCAUUAUGACUUUUUUCUGGUAUUAUGACUUUAUACAUGCAUCAUUACAUUUUUUUGUUGUAUUAUUACAACUUUAUUCUUCUAAUAUCACUUUGCUCUCAUUAUAGUUUCAUUUAAUUCUCUUAAUUAUUUUUUCUCAUAAUAUUGUGACAUUUCAUGUUUUUUGUUCUUAGUCUGGCCCUAAUAAUCCGUCGCAGUUUUCUAUGUGUUUGGAAGUUAAAUAAAUAUCCUGACAAUGUAAAAACCUAUAAAUAAACUCGUAUCAAUGUGACUGUGGUAUGUAACUUCACAGGCAUGUGUUCAG